UGAUCCUGGCUCAGAUUGAACGCUGGCGGCAGGCUUAACACAUGCAAGUCGAGCGGAGAGAAGUAGCUUGCUACUGAUUUUAGCGGCGGACGGGUGAGUAAUACUUAGGAAUCUGGCUAUUAGUGGGGGACAGCAUUUCGAAAGGGAUGCUAAUACCGCAUACGUCCUACGGGAGAAAGCAGGGGAUCAGUAAUGACCUUGCGCUAAUAGAUGAGCCUAAGUCGGAUUAGCUAGUUGGUGGGGUAAAGGCCUACCAAGGCGACGAUCUGUAGCGGGUCUGAGAGGAUGAUCCGCCACACUGGGACUGAGACACGGCCCAGACUCCUACGGGAGGCAGCAGUGGGGAAUAUUGGACAAUGGGGGGAACCCUGAUCCAGCCAUGCCGCGUGUGUGAAGAAGGCCUUAUGGUUGUAAAGCACUUUAAGCGAGGAGGAGGGUACUGGUAUUAAUACUACCAGCUACUGGACGUUACUCGCAGAAUAAGCACCGGCUAACUCUGUGCCAGCAGCCGCGGUAAUACAGAGGGUGCGAGCGUUAAUCGGAUUUACUGGGCGUAAAGCGUGCGUAGGCGGCUAAUUGAGUCGGAUGUGAAAUCC
rnacentral:rRNA from 1 species